rnacentral:rRNA from 1 species
GACGAACGCUGGCGGCGUGCUUAACACAUGCAAGUCGAACGGAAAGGCCCUGCUUUUGUGGGGUGCUCGAGUGGCGAACGGGUGAGUAACACGUGAGUAACCUGCCCCUGACUUUGGGAUAACUUCAGGAAACUGGGGCUAAUACCGGAUAGGAGCUCCUGCUGCAUGGUGGGGGUUGGAUAGUUUCGGCGGUUGGGGAUGGACUCGCGGCUUAUCAGCUUGUUGGUGGGGUAGUGGCUUACCAAGGCCUUGACGGGUAGCCGGCCUGAGAGGGUGACCGGCCACACUGGGACUGAGCUACGGCACAGACUCCUACGGGAGGCAGCGGUGGAGAAUAUUGCACAAUGGGCGGAGGCCUGAUGCAGCAACGCCGCGUGCGGGAUGACGGCCUUCGGGUUGUAAACCGCUGUCGCCUGUGACGAGGCGUGAGUGACGGUAAUGGGUAAAGAAGCACCGGCUAACUACGUG